rnacentral:lncRNA from 1 species
GCUGCAGUCUAUAGAAUGCAUUACAAAACUACCUUCUAAUUAAAUUGAGCUUCCCAUGUUCCCAUAGGCAGGGAAGGAAACAUUCUGACAGGUAGCAUUAUCCCAAUUAUAAAAGUAAACACAUAAUUUCAAGGUCCAUGUCAGUUACUCAUCAGUCCUCAACCAAUAAGUCAACUUUGGGAGCACUCACAAAACUAUUUUUCUAGGUACAAAAGCUGGUGACCAGAACUUGAACCACUGUUACUUCAACUGGACACUUACUAUAAAAAAGGAGCAGCUUGGAAUUCUUUGCCACCACUUGGAAGAGGUUCUCCUCGAUAUUCCAGGAUUUUUGAAGACAAAAUAAUGUUAAUAAUAAAUAGGCUCACAGGAGGAAGGGACUUGCAUUGUCUCAGUGCCAACUGACAUGAACAACCCAGCUUACUGCAGCAAAACAGAUCAUAUAGACGAGAAGGAAACCAAGAGACAAGGUGAAGAAUAUGUAAUAUUCUCAAGACCUAAGCCAUGAUGAUGUUUCUGGGACUAAACUUAGAUUAAAGAAUCUACUUCUUCU